CCUCGGGAAACUGAGAGUAAUUCCCCAUAAUAUAUUGAAGAGGCAUCUCUUUAAUAUUAAAACUCCGGUGGUAUAAGAUGAGUGUGCGUCUGAUUAGCUAGUUGGUAAGGUAACGGCUUACCAAGGCAACGAUCAGUAACUGGUCUGAGAGGAUGAUCAGUCACACGGACACUGAGACACGGGUCCGACUCCUACGGGAGGCAGCAGUAGGGAAUAUUGGACAAUGGGCGCAAGCCUGAUCCAGCCAUCCCGCGUGAAGGAUUAAGGCCCUCUGGGUUGUAAACUUCUUUUUUUGGGGAAUAAAGACUGGAAUUCAUUCCGGCUUGAAGGUACCCAAAGAAUAAGCACCGGCUAACUCCGUGCCAGCAGCCGCGGUAAUACGGAGGGUGCAAGCGUUAUCCGGAUUCACUGGGUUUAAAGGGUGCGUAGGUGGCUUUGUAAGUCAGUGGUGAAAUCUUAGAGCUUAACUCUAAAACUGCCAUUGAUACUGCUUAGCUUGAAUCAAGUAGAGGUGGAUGGAAUAUUACAUGUAGCGGUGAAAUGCUUAGAUAUGUAAUAGAACACCGAUUGCGAAGGCAGUUCACUAUGCUUGUAUUGACACUGAGGCACGAAAGCGUGGGGAUCAAACAGGAUUAGAUACCCUGGUAGUCCACGCCCUAAACGAUGUAAACUCGACAUCAGCGAUACACAGUUGGUGUCCAAGCGAAAGCGUUAAGUUUACCACCUGGGAAGUACGAUCGCAAGAUUGAAACUCAAAGGAAUUGGCGGGGGU
rnacentral:rRNA from 1 species